UGGGGUGGUGCCAGCUUGGAAGUCCUCUAUCCAUUAAUGAGUAAAGCAUGGGUAGCAGCAGGGAAAGCUUCCCUCACAUGCUGACCCCGCCAACAUGCCUUAGUCCUGAUUUGUAAAGAUCACAGCUGGCAAGAGGCAGGUUCAGUUCCCAGGGGCUGUUCCAUCCUUGGCCCAU
rnacentral:sRNA from 1 species